CAGGCACUCAACGUUGAAUAAACGUUGAAAUGAGGUUGAAAUGGUGAUCAACGUGUAUUCAACGUUGAAACAACGUUACAUUUUCAACGUUGAGUAAUAAACAAAUAUUCAACGUUGAAUUAACGUUGAUCAUUUCAACGUUGAAAUCGGAACGUUGAUUCAACAUUGAAUAAACGUUAACUUAUUUACUUAUGGUAGGCCUAUAUGAGGCCUAUAUAAAAAAAAUCAUUAACUGAAGGCAAUACAUGCAUGAACGUAGCAGUAUAUAUUUAUAAAGAAAAGAAUAAGAUAGAGUUUCGGUUUUCACAAAAAUAUCAUGAUAAAAUGAGAUCUCAAAUAAAAAUUCUGUGUUUGUGGGAGGAGGUAAAUCGUUUGAUACUGAUCGAAUUUCUAGGUAAAAAGAAAUAGAAUGCAUUAAUUUCAUUUCACAUAAUAUGAAUGAAUAUUUUGAACAUGUUAAGGAAUUUAAAAUAGUUGAUUAUUACCAAAAUUGUGAUUUUUUUUUUAAUUCAUAUUUUCGCGGGAUUUGAACAGGAAGUUAGAUUGCCCAUGCGCAAUAUUUAAACCCGCAUCUUUCCUGUUUUGAAAAAGAUAGAACAACAAAGAACGAAGUCGAGGAGAAUCUUUCCGUUUAUCAACCAUGAAUCUUGUCAAACAAAUCAAUGGCUGAAAUGCAUCAAGUGGAACAAAAUCAAAAUUCAGUUUUGGGAAUUCCAGUCUAUAAAAUCAUUGAAGAGGUUAAAUAUACUGCAAAAGUAUAAAGAUGUCACUGAGAAACACAUAUCUGAUAAAGAUCCCUCCUGCUUGAACUUGAAGUCUGCCUCAGAAAGAUCUCGAAGUGGUGGAAGAAAGUUGACAUGCAAAAAGAGACAAAGAUAGCAAAUGAAUUUAUAAAAUAAAUUUUGUAUCAAAAGAAAUAUCAUUGUAUUACUAAAUUUGAUAUUGCUCCUUAGUAAAUUUGUAUUCAUUUAAUUGUUUAUACCAAUUAUAGGUGUGAGGGUAAUAUAUAUAUUUACACGUAUAUACAAUCAAGGACAAUUGGUUUUUUGUGGAGAGUUGUCUGAUUUAAUAGCAGUCAUGCAGCAUCUUCAUAUUUUCAGAAGUAUUGCUAUCAUCCUGAAAACAAGUUGGAUCUAAUAAUGUCUUCACUCUUCUUGGGAUAUACUACUUUUAAGAAGGGCUUAACAUUGGUCAGUCGUUUAAUAUUUAAAGGACUAUUUGUUUAGAACUAUUCAACAUCAUCUUUCUGUUUGGUGAUGCUUUCUGUGGUGGGAAUAAAGUGUAUGUCAUAAUUUUUAUUCAAAUUCAUUGAAUGAUUUGUAUUUUUAUAGCUAUUCACAACAAGAAAAACUACAAGUAAGAAUAUAUCAAAAAAUGGUAGGUGUCCACUUGUAUAUCAAUUUAGAUAAUUAUGUUUAGUUAUCUUGAAAUACAAUUGGACACACACAAUCAUUUCAGCUAUUCCUUCAUGUAGUUUUUCUUGUUCCUAAUAGAUAAAUACACAUUUUUCAAUAAAUUUAACAUUUAAAUACGAGAGACACAGAAGCCAACAGGAUCUUAAGAUAUGACAUUUAUGGUCUAGAUUAUUGACUGUACAAGCACGGAAUGUUGUAUCAGUAACAAUUGAUGUAUUUAUUUAGAUGUCAAUUUAACUUAGCUGUCUUGG